AGCACUUUACGACUGGCAGGAGGCGGAGAAGACAGACCCCUCCAGGAACCAGCGAUGGAGCAAUCGCAUCCCCCGGCAAGGCUCACCAGGACUAGCUGACUCCGGGGCAGGGGUCAAGGGUCAGGAAUGGGUCCAGCUGUGCGCCUGGAAAGGACCCAGCGUGCCCACGCUCCCGGCAAGCCAGGGCUCAAACAUCCCCAAAGGGCGUCCGGGCUGAUGACGAUAGUUCCCAAUCGCCCUCCAGACGCACACUGGCUGGAACAACCGCAGGGACUUCCCUGACCGACCCGGCGUUUGCUCAGCUUUGA
ensembl:processed_transcript A930005H10Rik uncharacterized LOC110291210